CCUACGGGAGGCAGCAGUGGGGAAUUUUCCGCAAUGGGCGAAAGCCUGACGGAGCAAUACCGCGUGAGGGAAGACGGCCUAUGGGUUGUAAACCUCUUUUCUCAGGGAGGAACUCAAUGACGUUACCUGAGGAAUAAGCAUCGGCUAACUCCGUGCCAGCAGCCGCGGUAAGACGGAGGAUGCAAGUGUUAUCCGGAAUCACUGGGCGUAAAGCGUCUGUAGGUGGCUUAACAAGUCAACUGUUAAAUCUUGAAGCUCAACUUCGAAAUCGCAGUCGAAACUGUUAGGCUAGAGUAUAGUAGGGGUAAAGGGAAUUUCCAGUGGAGCGGUGAAAUACGUAGAGAUUGGAAAGAACACCGAUGGCGAAGGCACAUUACUGGGCUAUUACUGACACUCAGAGACGAAAGCUAGGGUAGCAAAUGGGAUUAGAUACCCCAGUAGUCCUAGCCGUAAACAAUGGAUACUAGAUGUUGGGCAGAUCGACCUGUUCAGUAUUAAAGCUAACGCGUUAAGUAUCCCGCCUGGGAAGUAUGCGCGCAAGCGUGAAACUCAAAGGAAUUGACGG
rnacentral:rRNA from 1 species